ensembl:lncRNA
GAAACAAUGAAUGCACAUCUCCCGUGCCUUCUUCUCCCCAAGCCACAUUUUAAUUAAAAAAAAUAUUUUACGUGAUAUUUCAGACUUCAUAUAUGUCUAGAAAUAAUUUUAAAGGCUAUCAGCUUAUUAAAAAAUAAAAGGUUUAUGGUACUGCUUCAAUUUUCAACAUUUCUAUGGGGAAAUAUAUUGUAUCCAUGCUCAUCCUAUUGGCCUCACCUGGUCACUUUAUACCAUUUCCUCUCUUAACGAGUUUGCCUUUUGGGCCCUACCAUAGCAGGUAGUUAAACGUUCUUUAAAUUCUAAUGUAAACUUAAGGUUUUAAAUAUGUGGGAUUUCCGUUUUUUUAUUGUCAUGUUUACAAUUUACAGAAAUAUAAGGUAGCUUCAGUCUUCAGUACAAUCUCUCUUUUUUUUGGCCACAGGGCAUGUGGGAAUCUUAGUUUCCAGACCAAGUAUCAAAUCCUCGCAUACUACAUUGGGAACUCAGAAUCUUAACUACUGGAGCAACAGAGAAGUCCUACAAUCUCUCUCUCUCUCUUUUUUCUCUUUCAGGUGUCAUAAAGCAUGGAAUGUCCAGGAAAAGAGAACUCACCAAACUUGAGAUUUGCCUUCCUCUUGAUAUGCAAGGGACAAGAUUUGUCAGUUGGAGAUGACCAGACAUCACUUACGAGAACAGCAUAUGCAAAGGUCCUGUGGCAUAAAGGAACGUGGGGAGCAAGAAGAAAGAAAGACGUAAAAGGAGGAAUCAGAUUAACCUUGGAAUCUCAUCGGUUGGGUCCUCUCUCUCCCUGAUGUUCAUGGAUCAUUUGGAAUUGACUGCAAUUGAUAGGCUUUCGGGUAAAUGCAUUCUUAGAAAUAAACUGCAUUCUAUUCUUUUCA